UACGGGGGGGGCAAGCGUUGUUCGGAAUUACUGGGCGUAAAGGGCUCGUAGGCGGCCAACUAAGUCGGAUGUGAAAUCCCCAGGCUUAACCUGGGAACUGCAUCCGAUACUGGAUGGCUUGAAUCCGGGAGAGGGAUGCAGAAUUCCAGGUGUAGCGGUGAAAUGCGUAGAUAUCUGGAGGAAUACCGGUGGCGAAGGCGGCAUCUGGACCGGCAUUGACGCUGAUGAGCGAAAGCUAGGGGAGCAAACGGG
rnacentral:rRNA from 1 species